UGAGUACGAGAUGCUACGGCAUCGAAGCAGUCUAUGUCAUACUUCCAAGAAAAGCUUGCAAUGUCAUAAACAAAUAAUGCCUGUACCAUAACCGACACAGGUGGGUAGGUAGAGUAUACUAAGGGGCGCGAGAUAACUCUCUCUAAGGAACUCGGCGAAAUGACUCCGUAACUUCGGGAGAAGGAGUGCCUUAUUUUUAUAAGGUUGCAAUAACAAGAUCCAAGCAACUGUUUACCAAAAACACAGGUCUCCGCUAAGUCGUAAGACGAUGUAUGGGGGCUGACGCCUGCCCAGUGCCAGAAGGUUAAAGAAGUUGGUUAGCAUUAGCGAAGCUGAUAACUGAAGCCCUGGUGAACGGCGGCCGUAACAAUAACGGUCCUAAGGUAGCGAAAUUCCUUGUCGGGUAAGUUCCGACCCGCACGAAAGGCGUAAUGAUUUGGAUACUGUCUCGGAGAGGGGCUCGGUGAAAUAGACUUGUCUGUGAAGAUGCGGACUACCUGCACCUGGACAGAAAGACCCUAUGAAGCUUUACUGUAACUUGAGAUUGAAAUUGGACUUUAUCUGCGCAGUAUAGGUGGGAGACGUUGAAAAUAUUCUUGCGGGAAUAUUGGAGUCAUCAGUGAGAUACCACUCUUAUAAUGUUAGAUUUCUAACUUUGUAUCAUUAUCUGGUCAAAGAACAGUUUCAGGCGGGCAGUUUGACUGGGGCGGUCGCCUCCCAAACGGUAACGGAGGCGCACAAAGGUUUCCUCUGAACGUGUAGAAAUCGUAUCUAGAGUGUAAAGGCAUAAGGAAGCUUGACUGUGAGACCUACAAGUCGAGCAGGGACGAAAGUCGGUCUUAGUGAUCUGACGGUGCUGAGUGGAAAGGCCGUCACUCAACGGAUAAAAGUUACUCUAGGAUAACAGGCUGAUCUCCCCCAAGAGUUUACAUCGACGGGGAGGUUUGGCACCUCGAUGUCGGCUCAUCGCAUCCUGGGGCGGUAGUACGUCCCAAGGGUUGGGCUGUUCGCCCAUGAAAGCGGUACGCGAGCUGGCUUCAGAACGUCGUGAGACAGUUCGGUCCAUAUCCGGUGUAGGCGUUAGAAUAUUGAGAGGAGCCUUCUUUAGUACGAGAGGACCGAGAAGGACAUACCUCUGGUGUACUAGUUAUCGUGCCAACGGUAAACGCUGGGUAGCCAUGUAUGGAGAGGAUAACCGCUGAAAGCAUCUAAGUGGGAAGCCCACCUCAAGAUAAGUAUUCCC
rnacentral:rRNA from 1 species